UGCCCCAUCGGCUGAGUUGGUUACAGCGUCCGACUGUUAUGCCGUUAUAUGCUCCUAGCACAGCGGAAGGUUGAGAGUUCGAGCCUCUAUGGGGCAG